rnacentral:rRNA from 1 species
AGUGAACGCUGGCGGUAGGCCUAACACAUGCAAGUCGAACGGCAGCACAGUAAGGGCUUGCUCUUACGGGUGGCGAGUGGCGGACGGGUGAGGAAUACAUCGGAAUCUACUUUUUCGUGGGGGAUAACGUAGGGAAACUUACGCUAAUACCGCAUACGACCUACGGGUGAAAGCAGGGGAUCUUCGGACCUUGCGCGAUUGAAUGAGCCGAUGUCGGAUUAGCUAGUUGGCGGGGUAAAGGCCCACCAAGGCGACGAUCCGUAGCUGGUCUGAGAGGAUGAUCAGCCACACUGGAACUGAGACACGGUCCAGACUCCUACGGGAGGCAGCAGUGGGGAAUAUUGGACAAUGGGCGAAAGCCUGAUCCAGCCAUACCGCGUGGGUGAAGAAGGCCUUCGGGUUGUAAAGCCCUUUUGUUGGGAAAGAAAAGCAGCAGGUUAAUACCCCGCUGUUCUGACGGUACCCAAAGAAUAAGCACCGGCUAACUUCGUG